rnacentral:lncRNA from 1 species
AGAGGCAAAGAGAUAGAGAAAGAAAAUGGGAGGGAGAGAGAGACUAAAAGAGAGAAAAGAAGAGGGAGGAGGGAGUGAGAGGGAGAGGGAGAACGAGAGGACAACGAGCGACCCGUGAAGGAUUGGGGAGGGGUGUGAAGGGAUGGAGAAAAAGCCCCAUCUCAUUCCCAUAUUUGGUUCGAAACAAAUCUUAAAAAAAAAAUUAUUUUAAAAAAAUUAAAUAAAAGGAGUGGAUCAUGAUCUUCUUUGGGCGG